GCUGAAUUCAAAGAAGGAAAUGACUAAAUCGAAGCUGCUGGAUUCAUUCAUCGGUUAUUCACGUGAAUAUUCUAUAGCUGAAGGCGCUGCCUUUUUUCGUCGACGACUAUGAUCGGCGGUUUUGAUUGCGGCUGAAAAGAUUGGAAGGAAGCUGAACAUUUUCGAUGAUUAACAUAUCCGCUGUGGGUUCUUAUCGACAACACAGAGGAUAGAGACUCAGGAAUAGAGAAUCCAUCUGUUUCAGGUAAGGAAUAAAGUUGCAGGCUGUCCUCAACUCUGCUUUCACUUUACACCUUCUGGUGGAUUGCUGCAAUGAUAAGAAGUCAUGAUAAGGAUUCCAAGCUGCUUAUCUGGAAGUAUUACACUCACUUUUUAAUCAUUGGUUAAGAUUUUUCCUUCUUUGUUCUCCCAUGGUCAAAGUCGUCACUGUUUCUGGGAUUCGUCAACCCUCAAUCUAGUUUAUUUCUUCAUGGGACCUCACUAAUAUCAUAUAGUUUUAUCCAUACAAAUCUGAAAAUAAGUUAUUCUUUUGUUUUGUUUUUUAUUCAACUUGUUGCUUGGAUUGACAUCUAGUGUAUUUCAUGUAUCCAGUUGUUGUGCUGAGUAGUUUCUGAAAAAACUAUGCUACCAUAGCCAAAUGCAGAAUCUUUUUCGGUGGGUCUGAUGGCACAGAUAAA